GAUAGAGGGGGCCUAAGCCCCCUCAUGGUGAA
rnacentral:scRNA from 1 species